rnacentral:rRNA from 1 species
GACGAACGCUGGCGGCGUGCUUAACACAUGCAAGUCGAACGGUAAGGCCCUUCGGGGUACACGAGUGGCGAACGGGUGAGUAACACGUGGGUGAUCUGCCCUGCACUUCGGGAUAAGCCUGGGAAACUGAGUCUAAUACCGGAUAGGACUCCGGACUGCAUGGUCUGGGGUGGAAAGCUUUUGCGGUGUGGGAUGGGCCCGCGGCCUAUCAGCUUGUUGGUGGGGUGAUGGCCUACCAAGGCGACGACGGGUAGCCGGCCUGAGAGGGUGACCGGGCACACUGUGACGGAGAUACGGCCCAGACUACUACGGGAGGCAGCAGUGGGGAAUAUUGCACAAUGGGCGCAAGCCUGAUGCAGCGACGCCGCGUGAGGGAUGACGGCCUUCGGGUUGUAAACCUCUUUCAGCAUCGACGAAGCGAAAGUGACGGUAGGUGCAGAAGAAGGACCGGCCAACUACGUGCCAGCCGCCGCCGUAA